rnacentral:rRNA from 1 species
UUGGUCAUUUAGAGGAAGUAAAAGUCGUAACAAGGUUUCCGUAGGUGAACCUGCGGAAGGAUCAUUACCUAGAGUUGUAGGCUUUGCCUGCUAUCUCUUACNCAUGUCUUUUGAGUACCUUACGUUUCCUCGGUGGGUUCGCCCACCGAUUGGACAAACUUAAACCCUUUGCAGUUGAAAUCAGCGUCUGAAAAAACUUAAUAGUUACAACUUUCAACAACGGAUCUCUUGGUUCUGGCAUCGAUGAAGAACGCAGCGAAAUGCGAUAAGUAGUGUGAAUUGCAGAAUUCAGUGAAUCAUCGAAUCUUUGAACGCACAUUGCGCCCCUUGGUAUUCCAUGGGGCAUGCCUGUUCGAGCGUCAUUUGUACCUUCAAGCUCUGCUUGGUGUUGGGUGUUUGUCUCCUGUAGACUCGCCUUAAAACAAUUGGCAGCCGGCGUAUUGAUUUCGGAGCGCAGUACAUCUCGCGCUUUGCACUCAUAACGACGACGUCCAAAAGUACAUUUUUACACUCUUGACCUCGGAUCAGGUAGGGAUACCCGCUGAACUUAAGCAUAUCAAUAAGCGGAGGA